CAAGGGAUUCAGGGACGGCCUCCUUGGCCGUGACAGGACAGGCUGAGAGUUCAGAGACGGCCUUCUUGGCCGGAACGGGUCAGGCAG